GAGCCAAGGAUAUUGCUAAAAGAAGGGCAGAGGUGCUACCCUCGGGGCCGAGCUAAAGGGGGCAAGAGCGGGAGGGGACAGGCGACGGCCAGGCCAGGGAAGAUGAUGCCUGGGAGCAGAGCGGGGAGGAAGAGCUGAGCGGACAAAGGGCCGGCGCAGGCUGGGCGAGGCUCGGAUGUCAGAGGUGCUGGAGGACGAGGUCCGGCUACAGCCAGGGUGCAGCACGCUAAGAGUCUCCUCGGUGCAAACCCACAUACUGGCGGGGUGCUGGCACAGCCUCACUCCCUGGUGCCUUCAGGGACCUCAGGAACCACCUGCUGCCACACUGAUUCAUCAGCCCGGCUGCCAUGUCCGAGGGCCCCUCCACACAGAGAGGAGCAUCUCUGUAGAAGAACACCCGUGAGCACAGAACAGUAAAGUGGAGGCCGGAAGAAAUGUUAAAGGAUGCUUCCCAGAAGAAAUGAAGCCGGGGCUGAAUUUGGGAGAUGAACCCAAGUUAGCUAAAUGGAUAAAGCGAUAAACGAACCCAUCAUCUAGGACGUAAUUACUGAGCACCUGCCGUGUGUCCAGCACCGAGCUAGCUGCUUCCCGGAAGUUAUCUCACUUUCCUGGCAACUUAGAGCCGAAUCCCAACACUGAGAGCACGGGGCAGAUAUGUGAGGACUGAGCUGGAGCAGCCUUCUUGUGAUCAUGAGGACAAGAGCCACACACAGAGAAUGGCAGAGGGAAAACCAGAAGCUUCUGUGGAGGCAUCUUCUGCAGUUCAUAGCCAAUCGCAACCUAAUAGCUACAGGUUCUGAAGAAAGACUUUCGUCACCAUAGAAAAGUUUGCCGACUCUUGACCAUCAGGAUAAAGCUUAGCAUCUUGGCAAGGACAACCCAGGCUGAAAUGGCUUUCCUAGCUAGUUGGAGCUCCCUUCCACAUUGCUCUGCAGUAGUCCCACUUUCCCUAUUCCUCCUCAGAGCACUUUUCUGAGCUCCUGAGGGCUGACCUUGGCCCACCCAGCCUUGGUUUAUGAAUUCUGUCAGUUUGACCAUUAGCUCCAAAAAAGGAAGGGAAGUUCCUUUUCCUGAACAUAGCCUGCACAGUGAUUCCUGGCC